rnacentral:lncRNA from 1 species
UGUCACUCGCCUACAGAUGCUAGCGAAUCUCCACAAGCUCCUUCGUCACCAAGAACUAUAGACGACUUGCGGGAAGCGUCUGUGCCACCUCAAAGCCACUCGCCAGGAACUAUCGACGACUUGCGAGAAGUGUCCGUGCCACCUCUCAGUCACUCGCCUACAGCUGCUAGAGAUUCUCCACAAGCUCCUUGGUCGCCAGGAACUAUAGACGACUUGCGGGAAGCGUCUGUGCCACCCCAAAGCCACUCGCCAGGAACUAUCGACGACUUGCGAGAAGUGUCCGUGCCACCUCUCAGUCACUCGCCUACAGCUGCUAGAGAUUCUCCACAAGCUCCUUGGUCGCCAGGAACUAUAGACGACUUGCGGGAAGCGUCUGUGCCACCUCAAAGCCACUCGCCAGGAACUAUCGACGACUUGCGAGAAGUGUCCGUGCCACCUCUCAGUUACUCGCCUACAGCUGCUAGAGAUUCUCCACAAGCUCCUUGGUCGCCAGGAACUAUAGACAACUUGCAAGAAGUGUCCGUGCCAC